GACGAACGCUGGCGGCGUGCUUAACACAUGCAAGUCGAACGGAAAGGCCCUGCUUUUGUGGGGUGCUCGAGUGGCGAACGGGUGAGUAACACGUGAGUAACCUGCCCUUGACUUUGGGAUAACUUCAGGAAACUGGGGCUAAUACCGGAUAGGAGCUCCUGCUGCAUGGUGGGGGUUGGAAAGUUUCGGCGGUUGGGGAUGGACUCGCGGCUUAUCAGCUUGUUGGUGGGGUAGUGGCUUACCAAGGCUUUGACGGGUAGCCGGCCUGAGAGGGUGACCGGCCACAUUGGGACUGAGAUACGGCCCAGACUCCUACGGGAGGCAGCAGUGAGGAAUAUUGCACAAUGGGCGGAAGCCUGAUGCAGCAACGCCGCGUGCGGGAUGACGGCCUUCGGGUUGUAAACCGCUUUCGCCUGUGACGAAGCGUGUGUGACGGUAAUGGGUAAAGAAGCACCGGCUAACUACGUG
rnacentral:rRNA from 1 species